rnacentral:rRNA from 1 species
AGGAAUCUGCCCAGUAGUAGGGGACAACCUGAGGAAACUCAGGCUAAUACCGUAUAAGUCCUACGGGAGAAAGGGGGCCUCUUCUUGAAAGCUCUCGCUAUUGGAUGAGCCUAUGUCGGAUUAGCUUGUUGGUGGGGUAACGGCCCACCAAGGCGACGAUCCGUAGCUGGUCUGAGAGGACGAUCAGCCACACUGGGACUGAGACACGGCCCAGACUUCUACGGGAGGCAGCAGUAGGGAAUAUUGGACAAUGGGCGAAAGCCUGAUCCAGCAAUGCCGCGUGUGUGAAGAAGGCCUGAGGGUUGUAAAGCACUUUCAGUUGGGAAGAAAAGCUUUAGGAUAAUACUCUAAAGUCUUGACGUUACCAACAGAAGAAGCACCGGCUAACUCUGUGCCAGCAGCCGCGGUAAUACAGAGGGUGCGAGCGUUAAUCGGAAUUACUGGGCGUAAAGCGUGCGUAGGCGGUUAAGUCAGUCGGAUGUGAAAGCCCAAGGCUUAACCUUGGAACUGCAUUCGAUACUGCUUAGCUAGAGUACAGUAGAGGGAAGCGGAAUUCCUAGUGUAGCGGUGAAAUGCGUAGAUAUUAGGAAGAACACCAGUGGCGAAGGCGGCUUCCUGGACUGAUACUGACGCUGAUGUACGAAAGCGUGGGGAGCAAACAGGAUUAGAUACCCUGGUAGUCCACGCCCUAAACGAUGAGAACUA